rnacentral:lncRNA from 1 species
GGCUUGAGGUGAUCAUGGCUCUUGAAGGCCCUCCGGGGUAACACGAAGGCCGAUCAUAUGUCUGGAUCCUGUAUUCUGGUGAGUUAGCCCUCAUCGGGGGAUUGAGACGAUCGUGUAAUUCGGCUCCUUGUCUACCUUGUUUGAAGAUGAAGACCUCACCGAGAGGUGAGGACAUGUCCCUGCACCUCGAGGGGUUAGCCAUGGCUCUCCCAG